UUCUGAGCGCAUCGUGCACAAGCCGAGUACACACACCCAGCACACAAAUAAUUAAUUUGGAGCAGACUGACGCACACUCUUAAAAUAAUAACGCAUGCAAAUAAGAGUACAUCGUUCACUUCAGUGUGUAAAUGGCAUCAGUGCGCGUAACCACGCCGCGUAAAUUGGUAGGAGUGUUAAGGUGAGGGUGUGUUAGAGGCCAAGUGUUUUGGUAAACCCGCAACUUCAAUGAGCGACAAACGAGAGAAGGGCCUGGUACACAGUGCGCCUAUCGGACUAUGCCUUCCCCAACUCGGGAGGAAAACAAAGGGGAGACCGGACAGGCAGAGCACGGAGCAACGGACAGCGGCGACAGGGAGAGAGGGACAGGCGGCCGUCUCGUGUGCGCUCUGGAGAUGGAGAUGACAAACCGCAGCCUGCACGGCGACUCCAAAGUGGAUUGUGUAAACUGCGAUGGCUUGAUCAACCGAAACGGCGGGGACUCGGCAGAAGUGUCCGUACCGCUGUCACUUCCCGGGAAGCGGACAGCUCACACGGAGGGAGACGACCUCUACAGACUGCGAAACAGAAAGUUUUUAUUAGAGGAUAAAAAGCGCCUUUGCGCGUUGGCUUUGGGGACUGCUCUGCUCGGGAUACUGCUCACGAUUAUCCACGCCGAGAUAUGUCCCUUCGUUUACAAACCGGGCUCAAACAUUGCCUUAUUCAUCAACUGUUCCAUCAGCCUGUCCACUGGGUGUCUCCUGAUCCUCAUCAUAGCUUUCCAUUAUAAGGACAUUAGGCUGUUUAUCAUUGACCACAACCAGGUGGACUGGCGUAUUGCCAUGACCAGCCACAGGGUUCUCGUGAUCACUCUGGAGUUGUUGGUCUGUGUCAUCCAUCCUGUUGGCACAUACUGGGAGGUGGGAUUCCAUGCCAACUCCUCUUCCUCAGCUCCGCUCUGUGUUUCCAACCACCACCGUGAGGCCCUGAUGGAUGUGGAGCUGCUGUUAUCAGUGCUGAUGUUCCUCCGCUUGUACUUGGUGCACAGAGCAAUCCUGCUGCACAGCAAAGUGCUGCUGAGCGCCUCCUACAGGAGCAUCGGCUCGCUCAACAACAUCAACUUCACCUUCCGCUUUGUUCUCAAGAUACUAAUGAACAAAUACCCGGCGCGCACGCUGCUGGUCUUCAUCCUCUUCUUCUGGCUCACUGCGUCCUGGAUGCUUACUUUGUGUGAGAGACAAACCCAAGCAACGACAGGUCACAUGGACACAGCUAUGUGGCUCAUAGCCAUCACCUUCCUCACAGUGGGCUAUGGGGAUGUGGCACCCAACACCAGCUGUGGCAAGGCUGUGUGUCUCUUCACUGGAGUCAUGGGUGUAGCCUGCACUGCUAUGCUGGUGGCAGUCGUUACCAAGAUGCUGGCGUUGAACAAAGGAGAGAAACAUGUGCACUUCUUCAUGCUGGACAUCCAGAUCUCUAAACGGGCUUCAUCUGACACUUCAAAGAAGAUACCAGUAUUUUUGGCAUGUUUUGUCUACAAAUCAUGCAUUCUUUACGUUACUGCUAACUCUCUACGCUUUAAUAUUUUUUGAUUUUUGAAUGUACCUUCUCCUUUAAUUUCUGUAUGAAAGUCAGCUUGCCGAAACUUGAAACUUGUUUAACUUAGGUAAUCUAUCACAUGUCUGUGUUUAUUGUGGAACAUUGCGUGGUAAUGCAGCUGUGGUAGUGCAGAAUGAUUUGAAAAGUCUGUUCUGCAGUGCCAGACAACAAUAACAUAACUCAAAAAAAAAGUAAAACACUUUGCUAUGCUUUGGAAAAUGCUUGUCAGUUAUGUAAAAUAUGUCAUUUGUGUUGAAUGGGCCAAAUCAUGUAAAGGUUUGGUCGACGAAAACCACAGCAGCAUUCAACCAUUUUCUGCGGAGGAUUUAAUGAAAACAGAAUCUUUACACAAGUUCAAUUACAAUUAUUAACACAUUAAAAGCUAAAUAUAGGUCAGAUAAAUUUUUUAGGCCUUUAUUUGUAUAGGACAGCUGAAGAUGUGAAAGGGGAGAUAGAGGGGGAAUGACAUGCAGCAAAGGGCCGCAGGUCAGAGUCAAACCCGCGGCCGCUAAAUUUCUAAAUUUGAAUGUUCAAUAUAACGUGUGACAAAAGUGUGAUUUUUAUAUUUCAGCUGUAGAACCUGGAAAUAGUGGCUCAUAUUUUGUGAUAAUAUUUAUCCAAUAAUUAUAUAAACUUCCCUAUGUAAACAUUUAGUAAACAGUCGACUGCCCUCCCUUCCAUCCGAGGUAACUGCAGUGUAGCAAGACACAUAGGAAGAAUGAUAAAGCGGAUGGAGGAGCCAGGAUGGAAGCGUCACUACUUUCCGUGUCGCAUGCAUGUUUUGGUUUUCGAGUCUUAUUCGAAUGGUUCUCUUUCUUAAAUAAGAGACACCAGAGGACAGGAUAGUGUGGGAAAAGAGGAGGGAAGCGCCAACCCCUUUAUAGCAUUUUCAAGGCGUCAAACAGAGGAAAUUAUCUGAUCCCUGUCAGGAAAGAAACUUGUGUCAGCUCAAGACGGUGCAGCGAUGGGCAGGAAACUGGUUGAGCUUAUGUACGUGUGUUUGUGAGUGAGUGUUUGGAAGUGGCAUGCAAACGACUUUCUUUGUAGGCUUGAACAGGAUUCAAAUGUUUGGUUAUUGAUGGGAAGAAGGAAGUGUCUGAUAGGCUAAAUACAUAUGUAAAUGCUUACAAGGAAACACUGUCAUAAAGCCAGAAAAGUGUCUUAGGACUAUACAUGAAUGUGUUAUGAUUAAUAGAGUUCCUAGAAUCAGCAUUUGUUUUGUGUGCAGUGCUACAGAUUUUCACCAAACUGUAAAGCAGUGUCUGACUGCAGAAGGUGCACUGCUUUGGAGGAUACAACCAUUUCCUUUCUCUGGUGGCUGCAUCCUGUCACUUGGUUCAUCUUUAUGUUGGUUGUUCUGGCAUGUGUGUGUGUGUGUGUGUUUGUGCUUGUGUGUGCAUCCUUCUGAGCUAUCUGGCGCAAGGGGGAACAAGGGAAGACAUCUGGAUGCAGACAGUGACAGCCUCUAUUAAUAACCUUCACAACAGGGCCAGAGUGACAUCAUCACUGGCACUUACAGUGAUUUGUGCAGGAAGACAAACAGACAUGAAUAGAAUCAAAGAGAAAGGUGCAAAAAGGUGAUACCGGACAAUGUCUAAACCUCACUUCUAGUCUGUGUGGCCUCUUCUUCAAAUUCUUGUAUAUAAGCAUAUCCUUCAUAGUUCUUCUGUUGUAUCUUUAAUCAGUACCAUAGAGCAAAAUAGUUCAAGAGAAACGACUAUCUGGAUUCAAUCAUCUGCCUUGGAUGACUCAUACUUUUACUAAUGAUUGAUAUGAAGCAAAUUCUGUCUAAGGAACAUGAUAAGCGCUGUGUUUUUUGUCAGUCAAGCUUGCAAGCUAAUUAACUGACUUUAUCUUGAUGGUCUUAUUACCACGUUUGUGCCCCUGCAACCUCCAUGGUUUUUAUCUGUCAAUUUGGAUGCUUCUCUCUCUUCACCAGAUCCGCCACGCUGCUGCUAAUGUGCUCAGAGAGUGCUGGCUUCUGCACCGCACAAACCUCACAAAGGGUAACCGCGGUGAGCACCGAAAACACCAGAGAUGCCUUCUGGAAGCCAUCAGAGUAUUUCGGCAUUUACGCC